AGAGUUCGUAUCCUGCACAGGACAACGCUGGCGGCGUGCUUCAAACAUGCAAGUCGAACGGAGUUAAUUUAGCUUAGCUAAAUUAACUUAGUGGCGGACUGGUGAGUAACGCGUGAGUAAUCUGCCUAUUACAGGGGGAUAACAGUUGGAACGACUGCUAAUACCGCAUAAGACCACGGGAAGGCAUCUUCAAGGGGUCAAAGGGAUACUGGUAAUAGAUGAGCUUGCGUAUCAUUAGCUAGAUGGUGAGGUAAAGGCCCACCAUGGCGACGAUGAUUAGCCGAUCUGAGAGGAUGACCGGCCACACUGGAACUGAGAUACGGUCCAGACUCCUACGGGAGGCAGCAGUUAGGAAUAUUGGGCAAUGGAGGAAACUCUGACCCAGCAACGCCGCGUGAAGGAAGAAGGUUUUCGGAUUGUAAACUUCUGAUCUUGGGGAAAAAGAAAGUGAUGGUACCCAAGGGGAAAGCCACGGCUAACUACGUG
rnacentral:rRNA from 1 species